UAGAGUUUGAUCAUGGCUCAUGAUGAACGCUAGCGGGAGGCCUAACACAUGCAAGCCGAGCGGUAGAGUUUCUUCGGAAACUUGAGAGCGGCGCACGGGUGCGGAACACGUGUGCAACCUGCCUUUAUCUGGGGGAUAGCCUUUCGAAAGGAAGAUUAAUACCCCAUAAUAUAUUGAUUGGCAUCAGUUAAUAUUGAAAACUCCGGUGGAUAAAGAUGGGCACGCGUAAGAUUAGAUAGUUGGUGAGGUAACGGCUCACCAAGUCAACGAUCUUUAGGGGGCCUGAGAGGGUGAUCCCCCACACUGGUACUGAGACACGGACCAGACUCCUACGGGAGGCAGCAGUGAGGAAUAUUGGACAAUGGGUGAGAGCCUGAUCCAGCCAUCCCGCGUGAAGGAAUAAGGACCUAUGGUUUGUAAACUUCUUUUGUACAGGGAUAAACCUACUCACGUGUGAGUAGCUGAAGGUACUGUACGAAUAAGCACCGGCUAACUCCGUGCCAGCAGCCACGGUAAUACGGAGGGUGCAAGCGUUAUCCGGAUUUAUUGGGUUUAAAGGGUCCGUAGGCGGGCCCGUAAGUCAGUGGUGAAAUCUCACAGCUUAACUGUGAAACUGCCGUUGAUACUGCGGGUCUUGAGUGUAGUUGAGGUAGCUGG
rnacentral:rRNA from 1 species